AUGACAGUGUUGGGAAUUCUGUACCUGGUGACUGUUCUUCCUGGUAUCCUGUCCCAGGUACAGCUUCAGGAGUCAGGACCUAGCCUGGUGAAGCCCUCUCAAUUGCAGUCCCUCACCUGCUCUGUCACUGGAUACUCCAUCACCAGUGGUUAUGGUUGGAGCUGGAUCAGACAGUCUCCUGGGAAGAAGCUGGAGUGGAUGGGGUACAUAAGCUAUAGUGGUAGCACAGGCUAUAACCCAUCCCUCAAGAGCCGCAUCUCCAUCACCAAAGAAACAUCCAAGAACCAGUUCUUCCUACAACUGAACUCUGUGACCACUAAGGACACAGCCACAUAUUACUGUGCAAGAGGCACAGUGUGUAGACUUCAGCAUGAGCCCAGGGCACUAAACUCCCUGCAGAGGAUGUCUGGACCAGCAGGGGGCGCUCAGCUCUAA